GGNNGACGNCNAGUCAUCAUGGCCNNNACGAGUAGGGNUNCACACGUGCUACAAUGGUCGGUACAGAGGGUUGCGAAGCCGCGAGGUGGAGCUAAUCUCACAAAGCCGGUCGUAGUCCGGAUUGGAGUCUGCAACUCGACUCCAUGAAGUCGGAAUCGCUAGUAAUCGUAGAUCAGAAUGCUACGGUGAAUACGUUCCCGGGCCUNGUC
rnacentral:rRNA from 1 species